GAUGAACGCUAGCUACAGGCUUAACACAUGCAAGUCGAGGGGAAACGACAUCGAAAGCUUGCUUUUGAUGGGCGUCGACCGGCGCACGGGUGAGUAACGCGUAUCCAACCUGCCCACCACUUGGGGAUAACCUUGCGAAAGUAAGACUAAUACCCAAUGAUAUCUCUAGAAGACAUCUGAAAGAGAUUAAAGAUUUAUCGGUGAUGGAUGGGGAUGCGUCUGAUUAGCUUGUUGGCGGGGUAACGGCCCACCAAGGCAACGAUCAGUAGGGGUUCUGAGAGGAAGGUCCCCCACAUGGGAACUGAGACACGGUCCAAACUCCUACGAGAGGCAGCAGUGAGGAAUAUUGGUCAAUGGACGAGAGUCUGAACCAGCCAAGUAGCGUGCAGGAAGACGGCCCUAUGGGUUGUAAACUGCUUUUAUAAGGGAAUAAAGUGAGUCUCGUGAGACUUUUUGCAUGUACCUUAUGAAUAAGGACCGGCUAAUUCCGUG
rnacentral:rRNA from 1 species